AUACGGAGGGUGCAAGCGUUGUUCGGAAUCAUUGGGUUUAAAGGGUCCGUAGGCGGGUUUGUAAGUCAGUGGUGAAAGUUUUCGGCUCAACCGGAAAAUUGCCAUUGAUACUGCAAGUCUUGAAUCAUUAUGAAGUGGUUAGAAUGUGUAGUGUAGCGGUGAAAUGCAUAGAUAUUACACAGAAUACCGAUUGCGAAGGCAGAUCACUAAUAAUGUAUUGACGCUAAGGGACGAAAGCGUGGGUAGCGAACAGGAUUAGAUACCCCAGUAGUCC
rnacentral:rRNA from 1 species